CCUACGGGAGGCAGCAGUGGGGAAUCUUGCGCAAUGGGCGAAAGCCUGACGCAGCCAUGCCGCGUGAAUGAUGAAGGUCUUAGGAUUGUAAAAUUCUUUCACCGGGGACGAUAAUGACGGUACCCGGAGAAGAAGCCCCGGCUAACUUCGUGCCAGCAGCCGCGGUAAUACGAAGGGGGGCUAGCGUUGCUCGGAAUUACUGGGCGUAAAGGGAGCGUAGGCGGAUAGUUUAGUCAGAGGUGAAAGCCCAGGGCUCAACCUUGGAAUUGCCUUUGAUACUGGCUAUCUUGAGUAUGGGAGAGGUUAGCGGAACUCCGAGUGUAGAGGUGAAAUUCGUAGAUAUUCGGAAGAACACCAGUGGCGAAGGCGGCUAACUGGCCCAUUACUGACGCUGAGGCUCGAAAGCGUGGGGAGCAAACAGGAUUAGAUACCCUGGUAGUCCACGCCGUAAACGAUGAGUGCUGGUUGUCGGCAUGCAUGCAUGUCGGUGACGCAGCUAACGCAUUAAGCACUCCGCCUGGGGAGUACGGUCGCAAGAUUAAAACUCAAAUGAAAUUGACGG
rnacentral:rRNA from 1 species